GAAGUGGGACAUGUGAAGUUAUGUCCACAACUACGAGGCCUGAUGCUGAUUUCAUAAUCAUGAACUGCCAGCCCAAUUUCAGUGAAAAGGGGACAUCUAAGGGGAGAACUGAGAGGAAGAUCAUCAACUUUCUAAAAAGAUUUCUUGCAGGAGGUUGAAAUGUCAGACAACUUCGCCCAAAGAGUCGAACCAGCUGACUGAGGAAACAGAAUUAUAGUUCACGGCUGUAAUGGUACCGCCACCGUUAACAAUCCCAGCAAACUUUCUGUUG